rnacentral:rRNA from 1 species
AUGGGCUUCAGCUUCCUCCCCGUGAUGGAGUACCUCUCGCGCCGCGCCUUCCACGCCGCCGGCCUCUGCCCCCACACCGUCACCCUCCCCUGCGACCCCGGCGAGGGCGGCGGGGCUCGAACGAUCCACUACUGGGCGCCGCCGGGGGAGCCGCGCCUGCCGCCGCUCCUCCUCAUCCACGGCUUCGGGCCCAUGGCCACAUGGCAGUGGCGCCGACAGGUGGGCCCCUUCUCCCGCCGCUUCCACGUCGUCGUCCCGGACCUGCUCUGCUUCGGCGGCUCCUCCCCAUGCCCCUCCUCCCCGGCGCCCUCCGAGUCGGCGCAGGCCGCCGCGCUGGCCGCGCUGCUCGACGCGCUCCCGGGCCUCGCGGCGACGGCGCGCGUCGCCGUGGCCGGCACGAGCUACGGCGGGUUCGUGGCCUACUCCCUGGCGCGCGCGGCGGGGCCCGCGAGGGUCGGCCCCGUGGUGAUAUCCAACUCCGACCUGCUCAAGACGGCGGAGGACGACAGGGCGUUCCUCGAGCGCGCCGGCGGCGAGUGGGCGAGCGCGGCGGACUUGCUCAUGCCGCUGGACGCGCGCACGGCGCGGCGGCUCAUGGAGCUCUCGUUCUACCGGAAGCAGGUCACCUCCAUGCUGCCGGACUUCCUGAUCAGAGAGGGCGUGCAGAGACUUUUCAGCGAUAAGAGGGAGGAGAAGAUCGAGCUUAUGAAGGCCAUCACUGUAGGGACAGAUGAGUUCCAACUUACACCCUUGGAGCAGGAUGUUUUGCUCGUCUGGGGAGACCAUGACCAGAUAUUCCCUGUGGACAAGGCAUUCGCUGUCAAGAGGUGCUUAGGAGAGAAUGUGAGGUUGGAAAUCUUCAAGGAAACCGGGCAUGUGCCGCAGAUGGAGGACCCGAAUCGGUUCAACGAGGUCGUCUUGGACUUCUUGCUUGCCUCUCAAAAGUCCCCAAACCAGCAUGAUCAGUAG